rnacentral:lncRNA from 1 species
CCGGGAGCGGGGCUGCGGGGCUGCCGGCUGCUGCUCAGCGCCCGCCCCCGCCGGUGCCGCUGCCGGUGCGGAUCUCGGGCAGGGCGGCAGCGAGGAGCCCGCUCGCUAGGCAGGGCGAGCAGCGCCCGAGGAUGCUCCCCUGGCCCGGGGCUGGCAGGGGAGAUGCCCUCCCCGGAGCAGCACCAUUUACGUAAGAUCAGCGCUCACCCCGCUUCAGAAGCGUCUCCCUGAAUUUGAGGGAGGGUUGGGAAGGGGAAAAAAACAAAAAAAGAAAAAAAAAAAACAAAAAAAGCUCCACCACCGCCAAACUGAAAGAAGCCAGCGAGAAGGAGGAGGAAAGCCGAUCCGCAGGACUGGACCUUCCCGAUGCAAAUGUGCCUGUGAAAAUCAACCUUACACAAAAGACAUGGCAAACAUGGGAAAGCCUGCAACAUGUACCUCCUCCUCCUCCUCCUCCUCCUCCUUCCUAUGGGAAGGGCAGCUCUCUGGUACUGCAUCGGGCUCCUUUCCCAAGGUGACAAAGCCAGAGCACACAGGCUGAAUUACUGAAAAGGCACUGAGGCCACUGCUCCGUUCAGAGGGUAUACAUGGAGGAUGCACCAGAACAAAGUGUAGGAUGGGCUCUCAGACAAAUAGAAGGGCUCACAGAAACAUUUCAGUGAUGGCUUGAGUGGGCUGCAGGCCAGCACCAGGUGCCUGGCAGCAGGAGGAAGCCCUCUGCAGUGAGCAAGAUCCGAGCAGUGAGCAAUGCUUCGGUAGCAAAAUUGGCAUUCUUUUGGAGGCUAAAGAGAGUUUUUUGGGGUUUACUGGAUUUUGUAUGAGUUCCUGUGCAGGGAUCAGACUUCCCAUGUCCUAGUUUAGGGAGAAACUUUUGGAAGGACCAGUCUAAUAAUGCCCAGUCAUUGUGCCCCAGCUCUGUUCAAUCUGAAUUUCAUUAUGUGAUUUGAGAUGUCUCACAAGAGAGAAAGAUAUGCUAUCUAUCUAAGGACUGAAUCACUCUCUAAAAAUGCUUAUUUCUCUUUGUCUGAUAAAAUGACUUUAAAUUACCCCCCUUUUGUAGAUGUGAUUCAUCUGGGUUGAUACCUUUUUCUUAGAGCAGUUAUUGCUCCUGAAAUAGUUUGUGCGCUUUUUUUAUUAUUUUCUAUUAUUCUGAAAUCUUCAUUUCCCUUUGCUCUUACUAUCUUCCUCUACAUUACCUCCUCAGAGAGCCUUUCAGAAUAGCAGUUCCCAUUACCCCUGUGGAACAAACUGCCAGACUUUUGCUGCUAUCAUUUUCCAUUUCUGAUGCUUCUCCUCUGCCU